rnacentral:rRNA from 1 species
UGGGGAAUAUUGCACAAUGGGCGCAAGCCUGAUGCAGCCAUGCCGCGUGUAUGAAGAAGGCCUUCGGGUUGUAAAGUACUUUCAGCGGGGAGGAAGGCGAUAAGGUUAAUAACCUUGUCGAUUGACGUUACCCGCAGAAGAAGCACCGGCUAACUCCGUGCCAGCAGCCGCGGUAAUACGGAGGGUGCAAGCGUUAAUCGGAAUUACUGGGCGUAAAGCGCACGCAGGCGGUCUGUCAAGUAGGAUGUGAAAUCCCCGGGCUCAACCUGGGAUCUGCAUUCGAAACGAGCAGGCUAGAGUCUUGUAGAAAGGGGUAGAAUUCAAGGUGUAGCGGUAAAAUGCGUAGAGAUCUGGAGGAUUACCGGUGGCGAAGGCGGCCCCCUGGACAAAGACUGACGCUCAGGUGCGAAAGCGUGGGGAGCAAACA